GCCGGGGUGGCGGAGUGGUUAUCGCGCUGGCCUCGAGAGCCAGUGAGCCCUCGGGCUCGCAAGGGUUCGAAUCCCUUCCCCGGCG
rnacentral:tRNA from 1 species